rnacentral:misc_RNA from 1 species
CCUGGGGCCAGGAGAGGC